rnacentral:rRNA from 1 species
GAAAACCUACGGGGGGCAGCAGUUAGGAAUAUUCGUCAAUGGAGGAAACUCUGAACGAGCAAUGCCGCGUGAAGGAUGACGGUCCUAUGGAUUGUAAACUUCUGUUGUUAGGGAAGAACGACCUAAGUAGGAAAUGACUUAGGAGUGACGGUACCUUUCAAGAAAGCUCCGGCUAACUACGUGCCAGCAGCCGCGGUAAUACGUAGGGAGCGAGCGUUAUCCGGAUUUAUUGGGUGUAAAGGGUGCGUAGGCGGCUUUUUAGGUCUAAGGUUUAAGCCCGGAGCUUAACUCCGGUUCGCCUUAGA